AUGUCCAAGAAGCUUACAUCAAGGAUUCAAGUUACGGAUCAAGUUCUUAUUCUCUUUUCACAUCAAUCCUUGCUUGCUUCUUGUAAGAAUGCUAUAGUUGCACGCUAGCUAAAUACACGUUCUUGGAACGACACUACGGAAUCACGUUAAGCUAGCUUUGCACAGGAAUUUCAAGGACCACGGAACAGGGGGUAGAUCUAUCGGGUACGG
rnacentral:lncRNA from 1 species